UCAGAUUGUUGUUCAGAAGAGAGCCAUUGAACUAGAAAUAUAUGCACUUUGUUCAAGUGAAAAAAAAAUACCCCUUUCUUAUUCAAAUACACAUGAUUUUCUGAUAUUCCCAACUAUCAUUACCUCCCAAGACAGGUACAAUCUUCCCAGAUCAUCACUACUAUUUCUAGACUUGAGUACAGGACUUACGCAAGGCAAGGAGCUUCAUUAAGACACACGCAUAUGAUGUACUUUAAUCAUAUUCACACUUUGUAACCCUUUCCUAUCCUUUGUCCUCCUUCCCACCUUUCCCCCUCCUCAUAGUUAGAGUUCUAUUGCUAUGAUAAGCCCCAGGACUAAUGAAACUUGGGGAAGAAAGGGUUUAUUUCAUCUUACAGCUCAUAGUACAUAAUGAAGGGAAGGCAGGGCAGGAAUUCAAGACAGGAAGGGAGGCAGAGGUCAUGGAGGAGUGUUGCUUUCUUGCUCAGCCUGCUUUCCUGUAUAUCACGGGCUCAUCUGCCCAGGGAUGGUACUGCUCACAGGGAGCUGGCCUCUCCUUAGCAACUAAGAAAAUUCCACAGAGAGAUACCCACAGGCUAAUCUGAUAGAGACAUUUCCUCAACUGAAAUGAGACAAUCCUCUUCUUAGAUGAUCUUGGCUUGUGUCAAGUUGACAAAAAAAGUUAAACAAUACAUCUGAGUCUUUGUCAACCUGACACACAAAUGCAUCAUUAUUAAACAAUGAGUUUUUUCUUUGUUAAUCCACAAGAUCUUUUGUAUUUAAAGAUGUUAACUAGAUAAACCAACUUGAGCUGUAUUCACCUCUUGUGAGGAGCAAGAAGUCUAGUGACACUAUCCAUGUGUAAAGAUAUUGAUAUUUUGUGGAAAAAAAACCACCAGGAACCCAAUGAUGCAAGCUGGUGGCUUCUAGCAUCUGGAAAUGAAGUGACAAAGGGAAAGAAUGAGCUUGUGAUAAAAUGAACUGGCUCAGAUGGACACAAGCAGUCUAAACGUUCCUACCUGUGCCCUGGAAGAGGAUCUUCUUCCUGGCAGACAUACAGCUCGAGUUGUUGAAAGUCAAGCCCAAGCCCUCGUUGUAAGAGUGACCAAGUGACAAUGAAAAUUCAGCCCCAAGCUCAGCGGGUGCAGUCAGUUAAAAGUAAGGACACUGGCUGACACAGAGUGGGAUUUUAUAACUUCCAAUGGGUAUUUUUUUUUUUUUUGUCAACUUGACUGCAUCUGGAAUCAACUGAAAUCCAAGUGUCUGUGAUGGAUUUUCUUAAUCAGAUUACUUGAGGAAGACUGCCCUCCUGGCAUCAUUGGUUUCCCAUUGCUGAGAUAGACAGUGUGACCAAAAGCACCUUAAGAAGGAGGGUUUGUGUCACUGUAUAGUCUUCAUGUAAAGAAGACUAUGCCCAAGAGUGUUGUAACUGUAUCAUAUGAUAAAUCUAAUCUAAUUCUUUUGAUAGAGCCUCCUAUAGUAUCAGAUUAACUUAUAUUUCCCUAUGUUCUUGCCAAUAUAUGCUGUUUUUGUUGUUGUUGUUGUUGUUCUUAUUGACAGUCAUUCUGAGCAGAGUGAGAUGCAGUUUCAGUAUAGUUUGGUUUGCAUUUCCUUGAAAGCUAAGAAUAUUGGAUAUUCUAAGUUGGGUGUCUCUUUUGACUAUACUUACUAAUCUGCCUUUAUUGGACUCUCUUUUGUUGCUAUCUGGAUGUUAAUACUGUUAACCCUUCUGUGUCUUUAUUGUAUGUAUUCUCAUAGAUUUUUAUACUUAUUAUCAAUUGCAUUUACAGGGCAGGUCUGCAUAUCUGACUCUAAUACGUGAAGAAAAUAAAAGAAAUCAAGCUACAAAGCCUAUAGAUAUUCUCAUUAAUGACACCAUGGUUUCAUUAAGAUCUUUUAUGGUGCAAAGAUGAAUGUUUUUAUGUUAAAUUCUAUUAAAACUUACAUAUAUAUAACAUAUUAUAAAUAUAUGCAGAAACAAAGGGAAAACAUAAGAACUUCCCUUAUAACCUUGAUGAACUUCAAUAAAAGCCACAGCUGGUCUUGUUACCUAAACAGUAGUCUUCUUGCUUUCAGUUUGUUUUCUGUAGUUUUAGUGAUCUCAGAUCAACUGUAGUCUGAAAAUAUUACUAAAAAUUAGUAAAUGUCAGAAAUAAAUAUUUAAGAAUUUUC
rnacentral:lncRNA from 1 species